rnacentral:rRNA from 1 species
AGUGAACGCUGGCGGUAGGCCUAACACAUGCAAGUCGAACGGCAGCACAGUAAGAGCUUGCUCUUACGGGUGGCGAGUGGCGGACGGGUGAGGAAUACAUCGGAAUCUACUUUUUCGUGGGGGAUAACGUAGGGAAACUUACGCUAAUACCGCAUACGACCUACGGGUGAAAGCAGGGGAUCUUCGGACCUUGCGCGAUUGAAUGAGCCGAUGUCGGAGUAGCUAGUUGGCGGGGUAAAGGCCCACCAAGUCGACGAUCCGUAGCUGGUCUGAGAGGAUGAUCAGCCACAUUGGAAGUUAGACACGGUCCAGACUCCUACGGGAGGGAGCAGUGUGGAACAUUGGACAAUGGGCGCAAGCCUGAUCCAGCCAUCCCGCGUGGGUGAAGAAGGCCUUGGGUUUGUAAAGCCGGUUUGUUGGUAAAAAACAGCAGCAGGUUAAUACCCCGCUGUUCUGACGGUACCCAAAGAAUAAGCACCGGCUAACUUCGUG